rnacentral:lncRNA from 1 species
UGUUUAUCUUUCAAAUGGUGUAACAUAGUUGUAUUUUUGAAAAAUUAGAAUUUUGACAUUUAUUUGGAUUCAAAUUUGCCGCUCUUGAAAUGCACCUGCUGUUGAUGGAGUGCACCACGGGUGGCACGCUAGCGUCCCACCUAGCCCCAAGAGGUUAAGCAGGACACUCCUUGGAAUUGGACUCCGGCCUGUCAGGAGUCGAUCAAGGAGCUAAAACGCCUUCUCACCACGUCUCCAACCCCUUGGCUCAUUUCCACUUGAACUGCCCCACGCUGGUGACCUGCAACGCCUCAGCAGUGGCUAUGAUGGCUGUCCUGUCUCAGCUGCAUGAUGACGUGGAUAAGCCCAUAGCUUUCGUCUCUCGCGCUCUUUCCGACAGAGCAAAAGCACUCAGUAGGGAGCGCAAGGCUUUUGCUUGUGAGAGAUGGCAUCUCUACCUUUUUUUUAUGGUCGCUCCUUCACCCUCAGAACAGACCUGACAGCCCUGAUGUCCAACACUGGCGGGGGACACAGGGCCCUCCAUCUCCAAAGGUGGUCAGAUUGCCUACAACAGUAUGAUUUCCAAGUACAGUUUACUCCAGGAAAAGACAAUGUAGCAGACUUCCUGUCCCUCCCCAUCACCUCGCAGAGCUCAUCUACUCAAAUGGUGACAGAUGGGGAAGAGGAGUUGGUGCAUCUUGUCUUCUCUCUACAGAAUGCUGUGUCCCUGCAAGAACUCGAGGACGCGUCAACUGCAGAACCAUCAUUUGGUACACUCAUUGAGUACAUCAGGAACAGAUGGCCUUCCCACAUCCCAUCAGAACUGGAGUCAUUCUCAAGUGUGAAAAUCAAACUGUCAUGCUGGGGUGAUGUCUGCGUCGCACGCUGGCCACUGUGCAGUGAUCCCUUUGGCCCUCGGGUCGUGUAAUGGCGAUGCCGAACUAAGGUCAUCUCGGCAUUGUCAAACUGAAACAGCGGUGUCGUGACAUGUUGUGGUGGCCUGGCCUAGAUUGUGACCUUGAAGAGCUCAUCAGGUCCUGCACGUCAUGCCUCAUCAGUGGGAAGACGGGCCCACCUGCUCCUUCCCUUGUACAGCCCCUGGACUGGGCAUUUGGAGCACCUACAGCUCGAGGUUUGUGGGGAGCUACACGACGUCUCACACCAUCAAAGGUUGCUCAUUGUGCUGUAUGACCUUCACUCUAAAUGGCCCAAAGUCACCCCAAUGGACACAGUCACAGCGGAGACCAUAGUCAACUUUCUGGAUCAGCUCUUUGCUCGCUGGGGCCUGCCUCAGGCCAUUACCACGGACAAUGGACCCCAGUUCCUGUCGAACCACUUCACCUCUUACCUAACAGGCAAAGGUGUUACCCACAUCCGUACUGCUUUCUAUCACUCGCAGGCAAACAAGGGGGGUGGAAAUAUUGAAUCGGUCUCUAACAAAUGGACUGUGCGCGCACAUGGCCGAAGGUUGCUCUCUGGGGACUGUACUCUCCCAGACCCUUCUCCACUACCACACAGCCUGUCACUCCUCUACGGGAAUCUCCUCGGCCUCACUCAUGUUGGGGCGUGAGCUCUGUGAAAAGGGAUCUGCAUGGAACCCAAAAGGGAUCUACCUAGAACCAAAAAUGGUUCUUCAAAGGGUUCUCCUAUGUGGACAACCGGAGAACCAUUUUAGGUUUCUAAGAGUGUACAGUCGUGGCCAAAAGUUUUGAGAAUGACACAUUAAUUUCCACAAAGUCUGCUGCUUCAGUGUCUUUAGAUAUUUUUGUCAGAUGUUACUAUGGAAUACUGAAGUAUAAUUACAAGCAUUUCACAAGUAUCAAAGGCUUUUAUUGACAAUUACAUGAAGUUAAUGCAAAGAGUCAAUAGUUGCAGUGUUGACCUUUGUUUUUCAAGACCUCUGCAAUCCACCCUGGCAUGCUGUCAAUUAACUUCUGGGCCACAUCCUGCCUGAUGGCAGCCCAUUCUUGAAUAAUCAAUGCUUGGGGUUUGUCAGAAUUUGUGGGUUUUUGUUUGUCCACCCGCCUCGAGGAUUGACCACGUGUUCUCAAUAGGAUUAAGGUCUGGGGAGUUUCCUGGCCAUGGACCCAAAAUAUCAAUGUUUUGUUCCCCGAGCCACUUAGUUAUCAAAUUGUGAGUGAGCCCACUCCCUUGGCUGAGAAGCAACCCCACACAUGAAUGGUCUCAGGAUGCUUUACUGUUGGCAUGACACUCGACUGAUGGUAGCGCUCUCCUUUUUCUUCUCCGGACAAGCUUUUUUUUCCAGAUUCCCCAAACAAUCAGAAAGGGGAUUCAUCAGAGAAAAUGACUUUACCCCAGUCCUCAGCAGUCCAAUCCCUGUAUCUUUUGCAGAAUAUCAGUCUGUCCCUGAUGUUUUUCCUGGAGAGAAGUGGCUUCUUUGCUGCCCUUCUUGACACCAGGCCAUCCUCCAAAAGUAUUCGCCUCACUGUGCGUGCAGAUGCACUCACACCUGCCUGCUGCCAUUCCUGAGCAAGCUCUGUAGUAGUGGUGCCCCGAUCCCGCAGCUGAAUCAACUUUAGGAGACGCUCCUGGCGCUUGCUGGACUUUCUUGGGCGCCCUGAAGCCUUCUUCACAACAAUUGAACCACUCUCCUUGAAGUUCUUGAUGAUCUGAUAAAUGGUUGAUUUAGGUGCAAUCUUACUGGCAGCAAUAUCCUUGCCUGUGAAGCCCUUUUUGUGUAAAGCAAUGAUGAUGGCGCAUGUUUCCUUGCAGGUAACCAUGGUUGACAGGGGAAGAACAAUGAUUGCAAGCACCACCCUCCUUUUGAAGCUUCCAGGCUGUUGUUCGAACUCAAUCAGCAUGACAGAGCAGCUGGUCCUUUUGUGGUAGGGCUGAAAUGCAGUGGAAAUGUUUUUGGGGGAUUCAGUUCAUUUGCAUGGCAAAGAGGGACUUUGCAAUUAAUUACAAUUCAUCUGAUAACAUUCAUAACAUUCUGGAGUAUAUGCAAAUUGCCAUCAUACAAACUGAGGCAGCAGACUUUGAAAAUUAAUAUUUGUGUCAUUCUCAAAACUUUUGGCCACGACUGUAGUCUUUGUUGUCUGCAGGUACCAACAACAAUGCUCAGACAGAGGAGGCCCAGGAAACGGCCCUGCCGGGGCCAACAUCAAACUGGUCAGCUCAACACUUCUCAUAGAGCGGCACCUGGUCAAAUAUCUGCUGGCUGCAGAAACCAAUGUCCAUGUUGCCACACAGACGUGGCUGACGUGAUUCUGCAGACGGGGGCUGACCUGAAUCAUGAAUCGAAGAGGGGACCAGAACCCCUCGAAUGAAAGUCAAGCACGACCAAUGUUUAGUGAGGUCAUUUGCACUCACGAUUAAAGGAGAUCCAUGAAGUGAACAUGGACAGCAUCUCUAAGCCUGAUUUCUCAUAGGAGGACGGGUUGGACGGGACAGUGCAUUUCCUCAAAAUCAAGGUAGUCCCUGACAGUUGGAAGAUGGACCUGAGCGAGAUCUUAGAAUCGUCGAGGAGGACAAGGAAGGAAAGGAGAGCGAAGAGGAGAAAGAGGUGCUAAGGGUGGUCACACAAUUGUGGUGUCCUAGCUCCUCAACUACCCCAACAACAUUGUUUCGGGCCCCAUGCCAGACUUAUCUCAUCUCUCACCCCCCUCCCAAGACACCUCUCAGGCUCCAUGACUUCCAUUCCAAGCCCUGGCCAUGGUAGUGCCUCCCCAAGAGCCAGACAGGGUACCCUCCAACAUCACAAUACCUCCACUUGUCAUCACAAAAGAGGCUGAGCCCCCUACAGGUUAACGCCGUUGCUGCAGAGUGCAUUGUGGAAGAGACUGAGAGCAAGCUGAAUGAGUUGAGCCAAUGGAUCUCAGCCAUAGAGAAGGCAGAGCUGCAGCAGAAGAAAAUCCUCAAGGAGCAGUUAACCAAAGUGUACAUGAAGGUCAAAGGCCUGAAGGAUGACCCAGGAAAAGUAGUUGCUGGAGAUGAUCGUGGACUACAGGAAAAGGAGGGCCGAACAGGCCUCCAUUAACAUCGACGGGGCUGUAGUGGAGCGGGUCGAGAGUUUCAAGUUCCUUGGUGUCCACAUCACCAACAAACUAUCAUGGUCCAAACACACCAAGACAAUCAUGAAGAGGGCACGGCAACACCUUUUCCCCCACAGGAGACUGAAAAGAUUUGGUAUGGGUUCCAAGUUCCUCAAAAAGUUCUUCAGCUGCACCAUCGAGAGCAUUCUGUCUGGUUGCAUCACCGCCUGGCAUGGCAACUGCUCCGCAUCUGACCGUACCCCCUGUAUAUAGCCUCGUUAUUGUUAUGUAAUUUUAUUGUUACUUUUUAUGACAUUUUUUACUUUAGUUAUUUAGUAAAUAUUUUCUAUAUUUCUUGAACUGCAUUGUUGGUUAAGGGCUUGUAAAUAAGCAUUUCACGGUAAGAUCUACACAUGUUAUAUUCGGAGCAUGUGACAAAUAACAUUUGAUUUGAUUUAUUUGAUUUACUACCUUGACAGCAGCUAAAGGAAUCCCUAAUAAAUACAAAUACAAAAAGUAUAUAUUAACAGUAUACACAGUAUAUUAUACUGUAUAUAUUGUGUGUGUGCGAGUGCGUGUGUUCCUACUAAGACGGAUGGCGUCUCCAAAUUAAGAAUAUGCCACUGACUUCAGAGCAACUGUCUUGGUUUAGCAGGGAGGUUACCUCCAGCCAGGUUGUAUGAGCAGAAUCAGAGAGCCUGACCUCCCUCUGUCUGUCAGUACGUACCAACCACCAACUGGGCUAGCCGGUUAGAGCUGUUUUUAUUGGGUCAUGAAUGUUGUUUGUUUUCAUGAGCAAUACAUGUGAGAUCACCUUACAUUGCCACGGAGCUGAUGUUCAUUUUACUGUAGGUGUCUUUUCGUAUGUUUGUUUUGUGUAUGAAAAUGCUAUUGGCAAAAUAUGUUAUUGAGACCAAUACAUCACUGAGAGUAGGCUGGUUUUGAGGGGUGUGUGUGGGCAUUGUCCUCUCAGUAUCUCGUUAAAGAGCUUUCCCCUGUUUGUUUGUAAGGUUGAAGAGAUGUGGGUGAAGAAAUGGUGAUUUGCAGCCUGCCAGUCUGUUAUCAACCACUCAUGUUCUCCGCUAACCUAAACAUUACUGCAGAAUCUUCUCUUCAAAAAGCAUCCACCUCCAUUCCACUCACUAUGAAUACAGAUGCCACCUUGUCCUUACUAAGCCAUGACUACUGGCUUCCCACAUGAAAAAAUACUAUAGUAUUCUCUGUAAUGUUUUUGCUGACUUUACUGUAGUAUUCACUGGAGUAACUAAAGUGCAAAAAGUCUGUAAAACACUAAAGUCAGCAAAAACACUACAGUGAAAACUAGUAUUUACUGUAGUAUAUUGUAGUGAACUGUAGUAUUUACAGUUAACUAUUGUAUAA